rnacentral:rRNA from 1 species
UACGUAGGAGGCGAGCGUUGUCCGGAAUUACUGGGCGUAAAGAGCGCGUAGGCGGCGCUGUACGACCCGUGUGAAAGCCCCGGCUCAACUGGGGAGGUCACGGGUAACGGCAGUGCUCUGAGUGCAGGAGAGGGAAGUGGAACUCCGGGAGUAGCGGUGAAAUGCGUAGAGACCGGAGGAACACCGGUGGCGAAGGCGGCUCCUGGUCUGCA